rnacentral:rRNA from 1 species
GACGUAGGGCGCGAGCGUUGUCCGGAUUUAUUGGGCGUAAAGAGCUCGUAGGCGGCUUGUCGCGUCGUCUGUGAAAUCCCGCGGCUCAACCGCGGGUCUGCAGUCGAUACGGGCAGGCUAGAGUUCGGUAGGGGAGACUGGAAUUCCUGGUGUAGCGGUGAAAUGCGCAGAUAUCAGGAGGAACACCAGCGGCGAAGGCGGCGCUCUGGGCCGGAACUGACGCUGAGGAGCGAAAGCGUGGGUAGCAAACAGG